rnacentral:snRNA from 1 species
AUCCUUUCGCAGUGGCAGUAUCGUAACCUAUGAGGUUUAGCCGAGGUGUGAUUAUUGCUGGUUGAAAACUUUAACCCAAUGCCCGCCUUGAUGACUUGAAAUAUAGUCAGCAAUGGCAAUUUUUGACAGUCUCUACAGAGA